UGCAGAACUCCACCCUCCCCCACCCCGGAGCCUCCUGGUUUCUCCUCCGCAGAACCCGCCUCCACUCACUCCUCCUCCGCCUCCAGCGCCACCUCGUAUCUCCUCAUUCCCGACAUGUCCUGGGCUCCGAACGUCUCCUGGGGAGUGGCAUGAUUGAAUCAGGGAUUCCCUAGCUCCAGGUCCCCUUCUCCGUCAUGCUCAGGACGAGGCUGCCCGGUUCUCAGAUACAAGGAGAAGUAACACCCGGAUGUGAAAAAGAAAAGCAACUUCACAAAGGAUGCCAGCUGAAGCUUAAGGCGUGUUUCACAGGUUUAUAGGACUGACUGAGGCCGUUAAGAUUGUUUGUUUGCCUGUUUUUCACUGCAAC